AGAGUUUGAUCAUGGCUCAGAUUGAACGCUGGCGGCAGGCCUAACACAUGCAAGUCGAGCGGUAACAGGGGAAGCUUGCUUCUCGCUGACGAGCGGCGGACGGGUGAGUAAUGUCUGGGAAACUGCCUGAUGGAGGGGGAUAACUACUGGAAACGGUAGCUAAUACCGCAUAACGUCGCAAGACCAAAGUGGGGGACCUUCGGGCCUCAUGCCAUCAGAUGUGCCCAGAUGGGAUUAGCUAGUAGGUGGGGUAAUGGCUCACCUAGGCGACGAUCCCUAGCUGGUCUGAGAGGAUGACCAGCCACACUGGAACUGAGACACGGUCCAGACUCCUACGGGAGGCAGCAGUGGGGAAUAUUGCACAAUGGGCGCAAGCCUGAUGCAGCCAUGCCGCGUGUAUGAAGAAGGCCUUCGGGUUGUAAAGUACUUUCAGCGAGGAGGAAGGCGUUAAGGUUAAUAACCUUGGCGAUUGACGUUACUCGCAGAAGAAGCACCGGCUAACUCCGUGCCAGCAGCCGCGGUAAUUC
rnacentral:rRNA from 1 species